UCCCAUGAUGGCAUGAAAUCUUUGAGACCUGAUUCUAUUAUGUGAUGACCACUGUAAGCAUAAUUUCUGAGGAA
rnacentral:snoRNA from 1 species